rnacentral:lncRNA from 1 species
UGUUUACUAAGGAGCGGGGCUAUUAUUCAGUUCGCCCUCCUUCUCCUUCUCCUUAUCAUCGCCUGACUCUUCCUCAUCUUCCUCUUCCUCCUUGAGUAGCUUGACAUCAAUUCCCAUGUCUUGAAUGUUGAGGUCGGGAUGGAGACAACCAAUUUUCCUUUUGCAAAAGUCAAAACUCUCACCAAAGUACCUGGAAGCUACAAAUUCAACAGCCUCCUAGAAGUAUCCAAGAAAAACCCCCACCCCAAAAAAUACUUGGACUCCUCAAUGAUUGAACUUUUUGACAGAUCUUCUUUUCUUUUUUCAUCGCUUGGCCACUCUUUCGACCUCUCCAUGAUGGCAUCUCAGCUUUCCUUGGUCUUCUUCAGCUUAUCAACAACCUGCUACUCUUGGACUCCAAUCUCGGCCAAUUGUUUCCAGCUAUGUGGACAGCUUUUAAGCACUAAUUAUCUCUCUCUCAACCGAGGCAACCCAGGCUUGUUGAGUCAUUGCCUCAUCCCUUAUCUCCUUGCCAUGACCAGUGAGGGAAAACCAGAGUACAACUGCCUAAAAAAGAUAAAAUCAUCAAAUUAAUGAAAUUUAUAGAAGUGUGAACUUAGCACAAAAUCAAAUGGCUACCUGACCGACGAUAUGAAAGAAUUUUGAGAUUGCCCAGUCUAGAUUCAGUUUCUCCACCUCUUCCUUAUCAGCAGGUGGGAUCACUCCCUCAAGAAGUUCCUCCACCAUGGCGGGAUUCUCCAACAUGGAGGCUUUUGAGCCCCAAGAUAGCACCAGGUUGGCCGAGGUUCCUUCCCUGGGGGCUAAAGCAGGUACUGCUUUUUUGCUCGCCGUGGUGGAGGAACUUCUUGAGGGAACUUCUUGAUGUCGCCUUAGACUUGGAAGACGACCUUUUCUUUUUGUCCUCUGGCGGUGGCAUGGAACCCUUCUUCUUGGCAUCAAAUGCUUGGUUGCCCUUCUUGCCAGGCAUCUCGACACGGGGGCGUUUCUCGCCAAUAGCUACCCCUUCGCCAUCAGGGUUGAUCUAGCCACCAGGUUUGCACUCCUGGACCUUUCAGCUAGCCAAGCGAGCUUCUUCAGGAUGAUCCUCUUUGACAUAGAUGUAAAAAAAAACCAACUUCAGUCAAUGAACGAGAAAAAAUAUUUUGAAAAGAGCGAAGGUAGUACCAUUCGAUCUGAGCUCGGGGGGCAACCAUGGUUCUGAUCAGGCCUUCGAGCUUGAACUUAAGCUUCCUGGUUCCUAACUAAGGAAAACCUAAGGAUUGAACAAUAUCUGAUCAGGAAGGCGAUAUAAAGCUUUCCUCUCCCUCCUUUGAAUGGUUUCUAAGUAUUCAACCGAGUCAUCUCAGGAAUUAUCACCACGACGAGGAUCAUCUUGGGAAUGAUGGGACUCACCCUCGUUGCCCGUGAUUGGAGUUGCACCGCUUGUCGAUUUAUCCUUGGCAUUGUCCCUAUCACUAGACGCCAUUGAUUUGGGGGCGAGUCCGAAGCUCCUAAGGAAGGACUUAGAUUCGAGAACUUCUUUGAUUGUAAAAAGAUCUCCUCCAUUAGUGAGUUCAAGAUCCCAUCGAGCCUAUCCUGCUCGAUCUUGGAUAAGACAGGCGACUUGUUGUAGCGCUUACCUGAAAAUGGAAGAACACUUGUUGGUCUCAAGAGAGGUGCUACACUUGAUAAAAAAGACAAAUUAGCGAACGAAGACUGACCUAGGGUGCCCCACGACCUCGGGACCCUUGGACCUCUGGCUUCCCCGGAUAUCUUCGAGGAGAACUCCUAGUCAUCUCCCGAGAUAAAAAAGAAUUUCUUCUUCCAUCCCUUGACAUUGCUGGGGUACCCGCUAACAGGUUCUUCUUUGGCGAGCCUUAAAAUAGAGCCAUCCAAAGUCUGACUUUGAGUUUUUAUUCAGACUAAAUAGACUCUUGAACUCGUUGAGGGAAAGGGUGAAUUUGUGAGCUCGCCAUAGCAUCACUGUGCAUACAACACUUCGCCAUGCAUUGGAGAGGAGUUGGGUGGGGCAAGUGUUGUAAAAAUACAAGAUUCUCCUAAUAGUGGGACGUAUGAGAGAGGAGACCAAACGUGUGAUGAAAGGCGGGCUCAUAAAAGGCCACCUCGCUCGAGGUGAGUAGACGCUAUGGUCUUGUCCACCUUGGGUAACCUGAUUUGAACGCCUGACGGAAUGGAGCAUGACUCUCUAAGACGAUCCAGCUUGUCUUGAGUCAUGGUAUUAAUUUCCUUCUCUCAAUUGGAGGUAGAGUAAUUGCUGAGGGACUGCCCUCAAGACUAGGGGGAACUCCCAAGGGGAGGAAGGAAGUUGAUUUAUCUUGUCGGUCAUGUAUGACUUUUCUCCUAAGUGAUCAAAAAUCUAUAAAGGUGGAGAAUUUUCUAAGUUUCCUACGUCGCCGUUACAAGACAUAAACCACAUAUUUAAUAAAGGUAGUUGGGUAAUACUUACAGAAUGACUUAGAUGAUGGCUAGAUAGAGAGUUAGCAAGGGCGAGGUUCACGUC